CCUAUCUGGUUGAUCCUGCCAGUAGUCAUAUGCUUGUCUCAAAGAUUAAGCCAUGCAUGUCUAAGUCCAAGCUGUGUCUGACACGGCGAGACCGCGGACGGCUCAUUAAAUCAGUCGUGGUCCAAAUGGGCCAGUGUUAACUUACUUGGAUAACUGUGGUAAUUCCAGAGCCAAUACAUGCAACUCAUAUCCUGAAGGCAGCGCUCUCUUGUAGGGCGUGUUCGCUCGACGGAUGCUUUUAUUAGACCAAACCGCUGAGGGCGUGCGUUGCUUCGGCUUCCGCGCUUGACUCGUUCGAUGGUGACUCUGGAUAACCUUUUUGACAAGCGCACGUACCCCUCUUUUGAGUGGGACGGCGCUGCCACUUUCGAGUGUCUGCCUUAUCAGCUAUCAACCGUUCGUUAUGUGCGACCGAUGGCUUUGACGGGUAACGGGGAAUCAGGGUUCGAUUUCGGAGAGGCAGCCUGAGAGACGGCUACCACGUCCAAGGACGGCAGCAGGCACGCAAAUUACCCAAUCCCAGCAACUGGGGGAGGUAGUGACGAAAUCUAACGAUGCGGGCGCCCUAUUUGGGGCCCCGCAAUCGGAAUGAGCACUUUCUAAACAACCUCUUGAGAACCUACUGAAGGGCAAGUCUGGUGCCAGCAGCCGCGGUAAUUCCAGCUUCAGCAGCAUCUAUUAAAGUUGCUGCGGUUAAAAGGCUCGCAGUUGAAUGUCAGUAUCGAGCGCAGGUCAGGUGGACGCUGGGGCGUGGGAACACAAGGCGCGGUACGGGCCCUUGCCUCGCGCUUGUGGUACCGGCCGUGUCUCUCACAUACCCCCGUCCGUUACAAGCCUCCUCGCUCGCGUACAUAUCGGAAUUGGUCAAACGGAGUGUGCGCAGUCCCUCGCGUUUCUCGUCUUCAAGGCCGCGUUCGCGCGUGUCGGUUGGCGGGUGCGUGUGGGGGCUCGCACGUUAAGCUCCUUCGGUUUCAUGGUCACCUUGAGUAAAUCAGAGUGCUCAAAGCAGUCGUAGGGGCCUUGCGCCCUGUGAACAGUCUUGACGGACUGACUUGGUUUUGCAUGGCAUGUCGGAAGACGACGUCGUGUGCUGGCUCAGAGAUUAUCAGUGGUGCAAGCCAGCCUCGACGUACUGAUUAACAGGGACGGUCGAGGGCAUUGGUAUUGCGAGGCGAGAGGUGAAAUUCUAUGACCCCCGCAAGACCUCCUGAAGCGAAAGCGUCUGCCAAGGACGUUUUCAUUAAUCAUGAACGAAAGUUAGAGGAUCGAAGGCGAUCAGAUACCGCCCUAGUUCUAACCCUAAACGAUGCCAACCAUCAAUCCGCGCGUAGCUCCCAUCUUAACGGGCUCGGCGGGCAGCUCCCCACUCACGGGAAACCAGAGUCUCUGGGUUCCGGGGGGAGUCUGGUUGCAAAGCUGAAACUUAAAGGAAUUGACGGAAAGGCACCACCAGGCGUGGAGCCUGCGGCUUAAUUUGACUCAACACGGGCCAUCUCACCAGGCCAGCACUCUUGUACGAUUGACAGAUUGAGAGCUCUUUCUCGAUUCAGUGGAUGGUGGUGCAUGGCCGUUCUUAGUUGGUGGAGUGAUCUGUCUGGUUAAUUCCGAUAACGAACGAGACUCUCCCCUGCUAACUAGUCGGCUGGAUCUUUAUCGGUGAGUUGUGUGCCGAGAACACCUGGGUGCGGGCGCGUGGGGUUGCUGCGGUUUUACCAAGGCUCUCCCGUGCUUCGUAUCUCGGGCCUCGGGCCACACACUCCAAGUCCGCCGCUUAUUGUAUAACUCUUCUUAGAGGGAUUCACGGUUCUGAAGCCGUCAGAGACUGAGAGCAAUAACAGGUCUGUGAUGCCCUUAGAUGCUCUGGGCCGCACGCGCGCUACAAUGCCGGGCACAGCAGGUGUUUCUCCUGCUCCGACAGGAGCAGUUAACCCUCUGAAAGCCACUGUUUUUGUCGUGUCUGACACGAAAGGCGUGCUUGGGCCUGGGGCUUGCAAUUCUUUCCCACCAACGAGGAAUGCCUAGUAGCGGCGGGUCACUGAGCCCGCUGUGACUCAGUCCCUGCCCUUUGUACACACCGCCCGUCGCUACUACCGAUUGGGUGUACCAGUGAGAGCCUUGGACUGACGUCCGUUGCCUUCGGGCAAGCGGGUCCGACGGAAAGAGGUCCGAACUGGUGCACUUAGAGGAAGUAAAAGUCGUAACAAGGUUUCCGUAGUGAACCUGCGGAAGGAUCAUUA
rnacentral:rRNA from 1 species